UACGUAGGGUGCAAGCGUUGUCCGGAAUUAUUGGGCGUAAAGAGCUCGUAGGCGGUCUGUCGCGUCGGCUGUGAAAACCCGGAGCUCAACUCCGGGCCUGCAGUCGAUACGGGCAGACUGGAGUUCGGCAGGGGAGACUGGAAUUCCUGGUGUAGCGGUGAAAUGCGCAGAUAUCAGGAGGAACACCGGUGGCGAAGGCGGGUCUCUGGGCCGUUACUGACGCUGAGGAGCGAAAGCGUGGGGAGCGAACAGG
rnacentral:rRNA from 1 species